CUAACUGCUUCUCUCUCUCUCUUUUACUCUUAUUCUUUCUCUCUCACUCUCUCUCUUUUCCCACCCUUAAGCCAAGUACAGGGAUAGUUGUCUCAUCAUUGGUGGCUUAAAAUGAUGUUUUUGAACAAGAAGACGCCCCAUGGGUACUUAUGGUGGCUAGCACUAUCUCUGUUUUUUUCCUUUUAAAUUCCUGAGCUAUUGUUUAGCAGUACACCCUUUUAUCUCCAUUGCUACUGAAGCUGAAUGUUACUUGGGUGGAAAGCAUAACUGCUUUCUUUUCUAUGUCCUUAAACCCUUUGAUAAUGUUACUGUUUGAGAGUCCCUGAAGCCAGGAUACUAGGAGAGUCUGGCUUGUCUGAACAGCUGAACUACAAAAUAAUGGAGUAGGGCAGGUGCUGUGCUGUCCUGAGGCCUGGGCCAUGGUGCCCAAGGAAAGCCCCUGAAGCUCACCAGGAGGAAGAAGCAUGCAGGGCACCCCUGGAGGUGGGACGCGCCCUGGGCCAUCCCCCGUGGACAGGCGGACACUCCUGGUCUUCAGCUUUAUCCUGGCAGCAGCUUUGGGCCAAAUGAAUUUC
rnacentral:lncRNA from 1 species